AAGACCUUGCGCUUUUGGAGCGGCCGAUGUCUGAUUAGCUUGUUGGUGAGGUAAAGGCUUACCAAGGCUUCGAUCAGUAGCUGGUCUGAGAGGACGGCCAGCCACACUGGGASUGAGACACGGCCCAGACUCCUACGGGAGGCAGCAGUGGGGAAUUUUGGACAAUGGGGGCAACCCUGAUCCAGCCAUGCCGCGUGAGUGAAGAAGGCCUUCGGGUUGUAAAGCUCUUUCAGCCGGAACGAAACGGUUACGGUUAAUACCCGUGACUACUGACGGUACCGGAAGAAGAAGCACCGGCUAACUACGUGCCAGCAGCCGCGGUAAUACGUAGGGUGCAAGCGUUAAUCGGAAUUACUGGGCGUAAAGCGUGCGCAGGUGGUUUUGUAAGUCAGAUGUGAAAUCCCCGGGCUUAACCUGGGAACU
rnacentral:rRNA from 1 species